rnacentral:tRNA from 1 species
GCUCGCUUAACUCAGUUGGUUAGAGUGCCGUACUAAUAAUCACAUUGAGAUUAAGUAUAUGCGGACGUCAGAGGUUCGAGCCCUCUAGUGAGCA